rnacentral:lncRNA from 1 species
GCAGAGCGCGGGGCUCCCCCUCCCCUACGGUCCACGGCCCUUCCCCGGCCCCCUUGUUCCCUCUCUAACUUCUGAUUGUUCUUUUAUUUUAAUUAUUAUUUCCCCGUCCCUUAAAAGGAAAAAAAAAAAAGAUUAAUAAUAAUAAGGAAAGCAACUAAAGCACUGGACUAUCCUUUAAACGGUAGCAGGUGUAAUGAUGUGUUUUGACCUUUACAGGCUAGUACCCAGGCAAUGGAGUGGAGUGUCUCAUAGAGAGAGUGAGGAGAGAGUGUGUAAUAGAGAGAGAGAGAGAGAGAGAGAGAGCAAGAGAGAGAGAGAGAGAUGGCAAGCACUGAGUUAAAUACCUGGCAAAACUAAAUAAAUUAACCAAAAAGGAAAAAAAAAAUCCACCAAACCGUGAUAAACACAAAACAGCUUCCUGAUGCUCGGAGUUGGCACAUGCUGCUGUGUUGAUUUAAUGUGGAUCCUCAUCAGGAAAGAGGGAAAAAUACACAUGUGCUUUGAUGUAGUCAAAAUUUAACCACAUAAAUUUGCACUGCAAGAAAAUUGAAGUUUACAUGAACAAAUUCAUGAACAGAUUUUUCUUUCUCCCACCGUUAAUUUUGAAAUUGCCGGGUUUUGUUUUGUUUUGUUUUAUCCAGCAGAGAGAGUUGCAGCCAGCCCUUGGCUACUCUCCAUUUCUAACGUUGUCGCGUUGCCCCCUUGUUCUUACUGUUUGUGAACUUUGGUUACUUUCGGUCCCCCCACCCCACCCCAACAUUGGUGUAACAUCUAUUUGCUUCUUUUACCAAAGCAAAAAAAAAAAAAAAAAAGAUUGGCUUCGUACAAAAUAAAUCCUUCUCUGCUUUCAGGAAACGUGCAUGGUCUACCCGCUUUAUCCAAGGCAAGAAUCCAGUUUGGAAUACAAAAAUGAGUCAAGCAUUGGUUUUUGUUACCAGCCACAAAGUAAACUUCAUUUUCAGGCAGUGUUUCUGGGGGAGGUUGCAGGAGGGGAGAAAAAGAAAAAUCGAUAGUGAGUGACUGAUUGCUUCAUUUUAUCAGGCGGGCCCAUUGUGAAAGAGCUCAGAGGAAAUGUGGAGGUUAAAUAUAUUUCCAGAGUUGUCCAACAGAAAGUGGCACUUUGAAGAGAACCAGGGAAAUAUAUAUCUUCAGAAGCCCCUGUAUAGUUCUCUGCCUUCAGUUUUAAUAACUUAAUUAGGAGGAAUUAUUUGUGCUGACAGCAGCAGUUAAACUUUGUUCCUCUAAUAGCUUUUUUUUUUUUUAACAUAAAGAAAAUAAUCUGGGAACUUAAUGGUGUAUGCAUAGACUGUGUCUUACCACACAAAUACCCACAUGCAUACAGAGGAUAUCUCCACUCUAGACUGGUUUUGUUUUCACUAGCUCAUUUGUUUAUCAAAUCAUAUUUAAGGUCCCACACCCUCUUCUCUUAUAAUUUAUUACAGAAAAUACCAGUUUGACCUGGACAGCUUUCUUCUCCCUCUUUCACUAAGGAAGCCAAAUGAACUGGGGAAAAAAAAAAUUGCUAUUUUCUAUCCUUCCUUUUCUCCCUUUGUUAAUAGUUUUAAGUGCGUUUUUUACCUUAUCUUGAUGGAAAAUGGUUAACUCCCAUAACAAAAGACUCUACUGGGAAGUGUAGGUGAAAAAAAAACUUCUAACUGUAUUGAAAAUAAAUACCAUUAAACUGUGAUCAGUUAAAACAUUUAAAAAUAAUCAGCACAAAAGGGCGCUCAAAGGGAAAACACUUUUUAUUAAUCUUCAAAGUUUGGGGCUUUUUUCUGGUUAAAUAUUAGGCAAAUUUUUCUUUUAAGACAUUAAAUUCUCAAUACCAUAAAAUUAUGGUUCAGCAUCAGAUUAGCAUUGCACUCAGUAGUUAAGGUUUUAGGAAAUAUGCUUUAUAUUGUCUCUUCAAACACCUGUGAUUGUUUCAUUUUCAAUGUUUUUGCAAGAUAAAUGAUGACUUAUAAUGGGCAUAUUUAUUUGCCUGUAUUUCAUUUCCCCCAACGAAUGUCACAAGGAGAUGGGCACGGAGCUGCUGCUUCGGGGUGCAUCACGCUGCUUGUUCCUGAGGUGUGGGGACUGGCCUUUAGUGAAGCAAUCCAGAGCAGGGCAGAUAGCCAAUGGUAAAGGGAGGAAAUGAAUUUUCAGAUUCUUAUUACCAAGUGGGUAAGGUCAGAUGCUGGAGUUCAGGGGACGAGUCUAUAGCUCCUCUAACUCUCAUAGGUUUACUAAGAUGAAAGUUACCACUGAACCUUACCACGAUGUAUAUAUGUUUAAUAUCUGUCUUUUGAAAUGCAGAAAUAGUUUAAAUGUUUCUUUGUCUAUUUUUCUUUUUUUUUAAUGCUACCCAGGGAAAUAUUUUCAUAUCAUUUUUAAGUGGCCUGCCUCAAUGUAUAUUUAUUUCUUUUAAAGCAAAAAGGUUCUGGAAACUGUUUUUCUGUAGCUUUAAAUGAGUAGAUGAGCAAAAUCUAUAUGGGAUGUAAUUUUUUUUUUUUGUUCAGUCUCUUUAAGAAUACUUUGUUUUGGUACAUUUGGUUGUGCUUGUGGGGAAAAUAAAAACGCAGAGAUCCUUAUAUAUUUAUGUUAAAGUAAUAUUUUAUUAUCUACAUAAAACAGAAAUGCACAAUACCUUCAUAGUUUGUUCUAAUUAUUGAAAUAUCUUUAUUUUAUUUUUAAAGAUAGUGCCAAGUUUUAAGGGGGGGGGAGAAAACCCUAGACCUUAUACUGACUGAGUUGAGUUGUGUGUAAAAUACUUCCCUUCCUUUAUACUUCAUAAAGUUUUGGAAUAAAUUUUAUGCGUAUACUGCCAGGUUUCAUGUUUAUAACUUUCAGAGCUUUUCUUUUCUUUUCUUUUCUUUUCUUUUUUUAAGAGACUACUGUUCUGAUUCUAAUUCACUUUUCUUUGCAAAAAACUAUCAGUUCCAGACCUUUCAGUCACUACACCUAUAGCAUUAAAUUGAAAUGGUCAUUGGGUUUGAGCCUCGAUUUGUUUGCCAUUUCAUGGUCCGACAAAGAGAUGUUUGUCCUCUUUAAAUAUAUGCAGAUAUCCCUACGUCUUCUUCUUUCCAGGUUACCUUUACCUUGACUGAUUGUGCUUUUUUUUUUUUUUUUUUUUGGAGAGCAUCAAUGGAACUAGGUGGACUUUAAUCUUUACCCACAUGUUCUCACAAAAUUUGGGAUCUUAAAAGCAAAGCUUAGUUAAAGGUAUUCUUUUUAAUCAUUAACAAAUACCUUUCAACAAAGAAUAACUCUGACAAUGUGCAAGAUGUGUGUUUACCAAGUGAUUAUUGGUGGGUCCCAUGUAUGAUGCCUGUUAGGUUUACAGAAAAAAAAAUGGAUUUUGCAAUGGUUUAUAUACUAGUGUCUUUUUCUCUUCGGGCAAGCAAAUAGGCUCCAAAGCAGGGCGAGAGAGAAAAAAAAAAGAAAACAAAAAAA